rnacentral:ncRNA from 1 species
UCAAAAACGAUGAAGAGAAAAAGUAAGAUAUAUCUAUUUUUUACAGAAAGCUUCGGUAGCUGAGAAGAAGCAAAAAUAAGUAUCCGAAAAAUGGCCUCUGAGUUUCCUGCUGAACGUAUUGUAAAAUAUUAUUAGGCUUCGACGAGUUUUGGUCCUCGUUAUCAAGACCACAGUAUAAAGGGGACAUAAUGUCACUCUCGUACUUGAUGAGGCUGUUUUGUGUGAGCAAGCAGUAAAGUAAGGUGGUACCACGUGAUGACAACACGUCCUUAUC